UAGGGAAUCUUCCGCAAUGGGCGAAAGCCUGACGGAGCAACGCCGCGUGAGUGAUGAAGGUCUUCGGAUCGUAAAACUCUGUUAUUAGGGAAGAACAAAUGUGUAAGUAACUAUGCACGUCUUGACGGUACCUAAUCAGAAAGCCACGGCUAACUACGUGCCAGCAGCCGCGGUAAUACGUAGGUGGCAAGCGUUAUCCGGAAUUAUUGGGCGUAAAGCGCGCGUAGGCGGUUUUUUAAGUCUGAUGUGAAAGCCCACGGCUCAACCGUGGAGGGUCAUUGGAAACUGGAAAACUUGAGUGCAGAAGAGGAAAGUGGAAUUCCAUGUGUAGCGGUAAAAUGCGCAGAGAUAUGGAGGAACACCAGGGGCGAAGGCGACUUUCUGGUCUGUAACUGACGCUGAUGUGCGAAAGCGUGGGGAUCAAACAGG
rnacentral:rRNA from 1 species